GACGAACGCUGGCGGCGUGCUUAACACAUGCAAGUCGAACGGUGAAGGGGUCUGCUUUUGUGGGCCCUGGAUGAGUGGCGAACGGGUGAGUAACACGUGAGUAACCUGCCCCCUUCUUCUGGAUAACCGCAUGAAAGUGUGGCUAAUACGGGAUAUUCUGGGUCUGUCGCAUGAUGGGUCUGGGAAAGAUUGCGCCUUUGGGUGUUUUUGGUGGGGGAUGGGCUCGCGGCCUAUCAGCUUGUUGGUGGGGUGAUGGCCUACCAAGGCGGUGACGGGUAGCCGGCCUGGGAGGGUGGACGGUCACACUGGGACUGAGACACGGCCCAGACUCCUACGGGAGGCAGCAGUGGGGAAUAUUGCACAAUGGGCGCAAGCCUGAUGCAGCGACGCCGCGUGAGGGAUGGAGGCCUUCGGGUUGUAAACCUCUUUCGCCAGUGAAGCAGGCCUGCUCCUUGUGGGUGGGUUGACGGUAGCUGGAUAAGAAGCGCCGGCUAACUACGUG
rnacentral:rRNA from 1 species